rnacentral:lncRNA from 1 species
CACACAGCAAAGAAAAAAUAGAUUGUUCUUGCUGCCUCUGAAGCAGACUAUCAUUUAGUCUUGCCUUUGAAGAGAAAGCACAGAAAGGGUGUGCAUUCCAAGAGAAACCGUAAGCCAGGCCACAGGAGUAUGUGCUGCUCUAAUGAUAGAAGAAUUAGUCUUCAGCUAGAAGACCACAAUCUCUUCCAAGAAUGUCCCAUCAUUGCUCUGCCAUCUCAACCACCACUAUCCUUUUCACAGGCUUAUUUCUGCCAGACUGAUUGAGGCUGCAUGCACGUGGGAAGAGCUGCUGUGGCUCUACAUGGCUGUGCCGAAAGGCAUAUACAAGUUUGACAGACACAAAGAAAACUCCAUUCAGAAAGUGGCAAGAUGUUGAGACAAAGCCUUUCUCUCCCUGAGGACAAAUUAUGCCAUAUAGGGAAGCGUGAGGAUGUGAUGAAGCCUUAUGAAGAAGGAAUGGUCAAGUAUAUGUUUCCCAUUCCACAGAUACACUGCCUGCCUGCACAAAAUUUAUUUUAAAAAAAAGUAAAUCCAAACUAUAAAAGUUCUGGACAAUAAAAUGUAAUUUCUGUCCA